UGGCGGCGUGGAUAAGACAUGCAAGUCGAACGCUAAUCAGGGGGUAGCAAUAUUUCCUGGUUGGAGUGGCGUAAGGGUGCGUAACAUGUGGGUUAUUUGCCGUGAAGUUGGGGAUAAUUCCGCGAAAGCGGGACUAAUACCGAAUGUGACAACUGGGAGGCAUCUCCUGGUUUUCAAAGUUGGGGACCGCAAGGCCUGACGCUUCACGAUAAGCCCGCAACCUAUCAGCUAGUUGGUAAGGUAACGGCUUACCAAGGCUAAGACGGGUAGCUGGUCUGAGAGGACGACCAGCCACACUGGAACUGAGACACGGUCCAGACACCUACGGGUGGCAGCAGUCGAGAAUUUUUCUCAAUGGGCGAAAGCCUGAAGGAGCGACGCCGCGUGGGGGAUGAAGGGCUUCGGUCCGUAAACCCCUGUCAUUUGUGAAUAAUGCGGUUCAAUUAACACUUGAACCGUUGACAGUAGCGAAAGAGGAAGGGACGGCUAACUCUGUGCCAGCAGCCGCGGUAAUACAGAGGUCCCAAGCGUUGUUCGGAUUUACUGGGCGUAAAGGGUGCGUAGGUGGUGGGGUAAGUUUGAUGUGAAAUCUCCGGGCUUAACCCGGAAAUGGCAUUGAAUACUAUCCCGCUGGAGGAUCGGAGGGGCAACUGGAAUCCUUGGUGUAGCGGUGAAAUGCGUAGAUAUCAAGAGGAACACCUGCGGCGAAGGCGGGUUGCUGGGCUGACACUGACGCUGAGGCGCGAAAGCUAG
rnacentral:rRNA from 1 species